rnacentral:rRNA from 1 species
UGGGGAAUAUUGGACAAUGGGCGAAAGCCUGAUCCAGCCAUGCCGCGUGUGUGAAGAAGGUCUUCGGAUUGUAAAGCACUUUAAGUUGGGAGGAAGGGCAGUAAAUUAAUACUUUGCUGUUUUGACGUUACCGACAGAAUAAGCACCGGCUAACUCUGUGCCAGCAGCCGCGGUAAUACAGAGGGUGCAAGCGUUAAUCGGAAUUACUGGGCGUAAAGCGCGCGUAGGUGGUUCGUUAAGUUGGAUGUGAAAUCCCCGGGCUCAACCUGGGAACUGCAUUCAAAACUGACGAGCUAGAGUAUGGUAGAGGGUGGUGGAAUUUCCCUGUGUAGCGGUGAAAUGCGUAGAUAUAGGAAGGAACACCAGUGGCGAAGGCGACCACCUGGACUGAUACUGACACUGAGGUGCGAAAGCGUGGGGAGCAAAC